GGCACUGUAGCUCAGUUGGUAGAGCACAUGCUUGACACGCAUGUCGUCGUCGGUUCGAGCCCGGCCAGAGUCA
rnacentral:tRNA from 1 species